AAGAGAAUACAAAAACUAAGCAAUAAAAUCUGCUAUUGCUCUACAAAAAAAUUGUACAAUAUCUUUACCGAGAUUAUGUUCGCUCCUUCCACUUCAUUGAGAUUCAUCACUGGAAAUGCAUUGAAAUUGCUUAUUUGUCGACACUCGACAUAGGAGAUCAAUAAUACUUUUGCAGUAAAUCACUGAAGAGGAAAGACGUGUAAGGAAAGGAACAACAAAAAACAACCAAUAUUACAUUCAUUACAUGACAUGGUACCAUACUUUAUUUUAGAGAAAAUCACAAGCUAAUGAGCUGAAACUAUAGAUACUCAUUGAAAUAAGAUGUGCCUAGUAGAGCAACCCUAACUCUGGCCAACAUCAAUUUUCAUGUAUAAAGUUCCAAGCCUAAAGAAAAAGGAAAUGCAUAUGCACACACCAGAAUAAUGGGUGUGUGAUGGUUGGUUAAAUAAGUGAACCAUUUUCCACUAUCAUAACUAAUAAGCUAACACAUGAGACACGAUAAUCCUAAUAAGAUAUAUCAAUGCAUUAUCAACUUGAAGUUUUGCUGCUCAGUUUCAACAGUACAGUCUCACAGCAGAGGGUAACAUAUAGAAGAAUGUUUCAACUGUACUUCUGAAAUCAUCAUGCUGCAAAAAAGAAACACCAAGUUCAGUGAGCCAAAAUUUAUACAAUUUGUAAGUUAGGUCUCAAAAGACCACCGAGCCAAAAGUUUAUUUCAGUCAAGCUUUUUAUUGGACAUCCUAUAUCGCUUGGUCCAAAAGUCCAGCAAUGGAUUUGAAUUGUCCAUCCUAUAAUACUGUUCAGAUAUACAUCAAGUAGUUCAUAUCUUGCUAUCUUGUAAUUUGCUUCUCUUAAGUAGGAUUAGUUCUCAAUUUUGUGUACCGCAACAACAUGCAUCUUGUUAUCUAAAAAUUGCUGCAUUUGUCGUCAUGCAAUAUGAAAUUCACUAAGAUUAGCUGAUGUAUUGUUCUUCAAUUACUUCUCGCACACACAAUAAUUAGGAAUGCAAAUAGCUCCUUCUCGUAAAUUCGAGCUACAGAAAACUAUUGAUUAAAAAGAGGAAGAGUCAGUAUGUUACCGUGGGUCUGUGAUGAAAUAGCCUGUUGUUCCCAUCGUACACCAGCUGGGGCUGGACUUCGUCCUUUGGGCAGGGUGGAUGCGUUUCCAGGCACAUUCGCUCGAGUUCUGAAAGGCAGUUACUUCAAAGAAUACAAAGAACAUGAACAAAAUGGUAGCUCACAUUACGUGCUUUUAUUUCCUUCUUCCCAUAAUCAUCACUGGCCCUCUUUUUGUGAUUUUGAAGAAACUUUUGUGGCAAUAUAGAGCGGCAAAUGAUAAUUGUACCAUAAAUAAACAGUUACACACUCCUAUUUUUUUGAGGUAAUAAGCGCUCCUAAUUAUACACAACCGAAUAAAUAGUGAACAUUUUUUCCUUUUCCUUUGAAAAAAUGAAAAAAAAAAACAAGCAUACGUACAUGUCAGGGCACGCCGUCUCAUUCUUG
rnacentral:lncRNA from 1 species